GCCAAGACUAUGGAGUUGACUGUGGGAUCUUCAUGCUGAUGUCUGCUCUGUACGUGGCACUGGAUGCACCAUUUGACUAUACUAUACUCUGGCAAGCUAUUUGCACACUGGAGAGAGGAAGCCAAAGCUGUGCUUGAAGGACAACACGUGCCCAUUUUCAGACUGAAAAAGCACAAGUUCCAGGAAGUCAGUCAGAAGCCAGCAGUUGUUGAAGAUCUGCGUCCUGCUGUGCAGUGGGUUGUCCAAAAUAAGGCACUUUUCCGUGGACACGUAACAAUGCCAAAAUAUCUGUCCUUAAAUCAAGGGGACCAGCAGAGGGUCUUAAGAGACAUGUCAGAGGAAGAAGACACUGGAGCAAGGGACUUGUUCCUCUUUGUUUUUCAGUUUGCAGAGGACAUGGAGCUCUUUUUGAAAGCAUGUGCUGAUGAGCAGGGACUAAGGGUCAGUGCUAUGUUUGACAUGUAAUGGACAAAUAAAGGCACUGGCUGUUUGUUAUAUUUGUUUCUUUCUUUAAUAUGUCGUUGUUGUUGUUUUUGUUUUGUUUUUGCAUAGUACAAAAUUCCAAUUAAACUUAUUUCAAAAUGUUGUUCACUUGA